AUUACCAGUAUUGGGUUGAAAUGCUGUCACUUUAAUGCACUCACAGUUGAUUUCUAGUCCAGUGGCUGAUCCUGUGGAAAAGUAUAGUCCCCAGACCUAGGUGAGGGAUGGUGGAAGGUGUCUUAGGGAGGAGCAGUACCAAGGCUGCUUCAGCAGGCUGGUGGCAUGAAGGAUGCUGCCGGAAACUUCCAUAAUAUUGCACCAUGAUUAUUUUCACCAUAAGUAGGUAUUUUUAGGAGGUGUAAAUCAGACACUGGGAGCAGAGAGGGCAAAAUUAAGUCACCUCUGUAUUCCUGGGGACAGUGUGGAUUUCCAAAGGCAGUUGUGGAGCCUCUUGCUUGGUGAAGUGUUAUGGUGGUGUGUUGUUCUUUGUUUAUUUUUUAAAGCAUCUGAAUUGGUUAUGAAGCGUCACAGCAUGGGUCCUCUUAGGAAUUUUAUAUAAAGGUAUUUAUUUCUUUUCUUCCCUUCCUGCCCCUGCUUGAAAAUCCAGACUGUUACUGUUAGCCAGCAGGAGGGCAGACCUACUGCUCACAUAAAUUGCUCUAGUUCUAUUGUUUGCCCUUGUUCCCCCAAGUUUGCAGAUGAUGCUGAUGUAACCAACAUAAGGAUCUGGCCUCUAGCAUGUGUUUGUCCCAUCUGCUGUCCAGCAUGUUAAUUUUAGUGGAAGACACAAACUUGCACGGACUGUGAUUUUAAGGAGGGGCCCUUUUGAUUUUCAAGAGCCAACUGUGAAGCCUCAGGGGCCAGGUUCUGAAAGGCAGUCAAUGCCAAGAUCAGGAGGAGUUGGGAACUUGGGUCCUGGCAAUUUCUGGCUUGUGGUCCAAUACUGACAAGACCAUAGGGAAGGAAGCAUGUGCUAAACAUUUGUGUAAAAGUACAAUGAUGUUAAAGAUUUUUGGGUAGAAACAAACAUCCUUGGGGGGAAGGACCAGGGUUGCAAAAAAGGACUCAGUUGAAAUGAGCCUUGAAAAGUCCUCAGGGGGGUUAGAAAUGGUGGGAAAGGGAGUAUAUUUCCACUGCAGUUGUCAACCAAAAUAAAAAUAAUGAUUUAUUUAAAAAAAUGCAACAGGUAGAAGGAAUCUGUUGCUUUAGCUGAUCCUCUUUAUCUUUCCUAUUUCAAUAGGAACAGAAUUAUGCCAGGUAAUGAUUCAAGUGAUUCUUCUUCCUAGUAUUUAACGCUGCAAAUAUUUACAAAUAUUAGUAGCCAGGCUUCUUAACAUGCCCAGAGAUCUUGAAAGUCUUGUGUUUUCAGUGCAAGAUUGGAAAUUCCUGAGAUUUUCUAAAUGCUCAGAGAUGAUCUUAAAAAUACAAAAAAAAAAAAAAAAAGACCAAAAAAAAAAAAAAAAAGAUAAAACAGACAAACCAAAAACCAUAAAGGUAUUUUGAAAGUGUCCUGAAACUGGGAAUUUAGAUUCUAUCUCAACUAUUGUUUACUUUUGUUAAUGUUUGUUAGGAUACAGUUCUUGAUUGUUACUGGUCUUAUGCAAGUGGCUUAUUGUGCAUUUAGGUGGUACUGUUAGUAACUCUUCUAUUUUUCUUGCAUGUUUCAUGAAAACUACUGAGUUUCUGAAACUCCUUGAUCCUUAGAAUCAGCUGUGGAACAGAGGUGACUUGUCCCUGAUCGCAUGGAAAGCUGAAGGCAGAGUUGGGAAUGGGGCUCAGAUGUCCAGCAUGUCAAAAGGUUGCAGCACAGUGGCACACCUGGCAGAAGUGCUUUAGCCCAGUCAGCUGCAGUUUUCCAGAGAAACCUCUUUGCUGGAUAAUUCCUUGUCAGGCUGGAGGAGAAGACUGGUUUGUGUAGCUGUCUGCAUUGACAGGGAAGGUUGCCCUCCUUCUGUGCCUGACCGCUGACUUUGAGAGUGUGGGGCAGUGAAUGAUCCAACAGAGAGAUAUCACCUAUGAGCAAGGAGCCAGUGCCUCAGAGAUGAUGAUGUAGUCCCUAUGUGGGCCGCAGAAAGCACUUCGAGCCGUGCUGGAGUCGUGCUGGGUGGCUCUGAUAGCAGAGCUAAUGGGAGCGAAUGGGAUGCAACGAACUGUUCUAAUGACACCAGCCAGGGAAGAGACAACAGCUCUACAAAGAAGUGGUGACAGUGAUGGAGUAUUGAUGACAUUGGAGAGCUGCUGCUUGUGCUGCCAAAUACCAUCAGGGCUUGAAAGACAGAUUGAUUUCUUUUUCUGCUUUGCACAAGUGUGAGGACACCAAGACAAGAGCCACUCAUCAGCCUCUGUGAGUGGGCCAGCACAGGAAAAUGUCCACUGUCACAUGUUCUACUACCACCACUGCACUGUCUUUCACAUGCAGUCUAUGAUCAUCAAAUCCUCUUGCCAUCUUUGACAAGCAAAAACAAUGGAGAAAGAGGCUGGUCCAAACUGACUUCUGGUGCUGCAGUCACUGAAGUCCUUGCAACGGGAGGAACUUGAGGUGCCACUGGCUGUAGAUGCCCCAGGUUUCUGAGAAGAUACUGCAAACUGUGACAUAUCCAUCUUGUGUAUGUUUUUCACUGAUAUUGGGGUUACAUGCUAGGAAACAAACUUCAGUUAAACAUUUCUGCUGGAGAGGGGAGCAUCACCUGUAUUUAACUGGCCUAGUACAAGAAAAACAAGAAAACAAGAAUUAAGAGGGUUUGGUAUUUAAGGCACUUGUCACAUGGAGGUCCAGGAAGCAAGGGGAGCCCCUAAUUCCCUGAGGCACCUCUCACUGGUUUCAGCACCCAGGAGGCAAGCUAAGGAGAGGCAGGUUGCACUGAUUUUCAAGGAUCGGAGAUUUGAUGAAGAGGAUUCAUUUCAAGAAAUAAACCUUUUAAAUUAACCGCAAGAUGAGGGAAAUUUCUUUAUUUAAAAAAUGCACCAGCCCCUUCUUUGUUUCUUUUAUUAUUAUUAAUAUUAUUUUCCAUCCGGCUCUGGGUCAUUAAGGAGGGUCCAGAAGUCACAGAUUGCCUUUCUGAGGGAGGAGAGCUGAGAACUUCGAAUGUCACACAUUUUGUCUGGCUCCAAACCCUUCAUUUAUUGCAACACAAUUUGUUACCUGUGGUUGGCUCUGCACACCAUUGUGCACUGUGCGCCAGGAUGAUUUAGCAGGAAUGUCCUCUCCACCUUGAACUUGAGAGGGGGAAAAUCCCUCGAGAGAGGAGAUAUAGAAGAAUCAUGAAAGACAGACUUCCAGCCACUUCAGAAGAGAAAUGCCCCUUGGGGUCUGGGUAAAGUCCCCUCAAGCUUUGACAGGGUGUAGAGAUCAGGAAACCCUGGUUAUAACAAAGGCAGAUGGCUCUGUGAGGGCACAUUUAAGAUGCAGGGGUAAAGAAAUGGAAAAAAAGGAAAGCCCAGAACCAACAUGGUUCCUGGUGUGCCAUCCUGCCAUAGGGGUGUGCAGAUCACAAUGGACAAUAGCAGGGCUGGAGUAAAAGCAGAGUGAAGAUGAUUGAAAGACACAUGCCACAUUAUGCUGGUCUUCCUUGGCAAGGCUACAAAGUACCAUCUUUGAGGAUGGUAGUUUCUUCCUGAACUGUUUGGGUAUAGUUUGCUCCCCUCCAGUCCUUCCUGGCCACAGCUCCCACGUAACUUCCAGCAACAGCUCCUGCAACCUGGCUGCAAAUGUAGCCUCCCGGUUCCCCAGCGUUCUGCCUGGCUGCAGCAUGGAGAGGCAAAACAAGAGUGCUGGAGCAAGCGUCUGCUGUCUUCCAUAAGAAAACUCUUUUCUUUAGAUACUUUCAUAUCAAAACCCAAAUGGUUGGGCCUCUUUCCUAUUUGAACAAGAGCCAAUCCUUUCGAAUCACAGCUGCUCACCUAACCACAGGCGACCACCUCAGUUGUGUGGCAUGAACCUGGACCGGAGGCUCUUCACAGGUGAUGUCUGGGAACAGACAGCUCUUGGGUGCUGGAGCCAUCUGCAUUCCUUGGUCCUAGUGAGCCUUCCUGAUCCGAACCCUAAUGCGAGGCCUCCUUGAAGCCAUCCUCCAUGCAGGAAGAUUCUGGCCACUGGUGAGACUGCCCAGCCAGUGCACCACCGUCCUGGGAUGAGAAGGGCAGCACCUGCCCUACUGGAGAGUCCCAGAACAGGGCAGGUGGGCAGCAGCAACUACCUGAGCUAAAGGGGAGCCAAGACACCAGGGUUAACAACCCUCAUCUUCGUAAAAAAAAAGGCACAAGAUCUUUAAUGACUACAAAAGGCUGAGACCUUUGUUUUAUAUCUCUUCUGAAAAGCAAUCACGCACAUUUUAGCAGGGGAGCUUUUAUUCUCAUGCGGAUGGGGUAGCCAGUGCAGUGUCCUCUCCCAAGCGCAUCCGGACCUGGUCAGUCCAAGUGCACAGAAGAACAACGUGAAACAUGUUUGACCUUCACAACUUUCCUUUACAGACCAGCAAGCUAAAACCCUGAAGGAAUUUUCCUGAGUGAGUUUGUCCAAAGCAACGUUCACCACCUCAUUCAAUAUUUGCCUGCAAAAAAAAUGCCAAUUAUUGAAAGACAGUCCUGGCUGGGCAUCAAUAGGCAGCCAGGUGUGAGAAGUUGAAGAGAAAUGCAUCUCAUUAAUGUGGAAUUGUUUUUAGGUUAAUAAUCUUGCGUUAAUUUCCCUUUAAAAUAUUGUCUUUGACCGUUAAACGCUUGCACUGUUAUAAAAAGAACGUAAUAAAUGAUCUUGAAGCAAA